rnacentral:rRNA from 1 species
UACCAGCACCCCGAGUGGUCGGGACGUUUAUUGGGCCUAAAGCAUCCGUAGCCGGUUCUACAAGUCUUCCGUUAAAUCCACGUGCUCAACAGAUGGGCUGCGGAAGAUACUAUGGAGCUGGAGGAGCGGGAGAGGCAAGCGGUACUCGAUGGGUAGGGGUAAAAUCCGUUGAUCCAUUGAAGACCACCAGUGGCGAAGGCGGCUUGCCAGAACGCGCUCGACGGUGAGGGAUGAAAGCUGGGGGAGCAACCGG